rnacentral:siRNA from 1 species
GCAUAAGUAAGUGUCAAAGAA